CCACGAGCAGAGGCGCUCGGCGCUCGGGACGCCGCCGCCGCCGCUGCCGCCGCGGGGUCGCAGGCGGAGGAGGGGAGCCGGGAGGAGGAGAACGGCAGCGGGAGGAGGGACACGGAGGCGCGAGAUCCCAAUCCGCAGCCCAGAUCACAGCGCAGCCUGCCGGGAGGAGCGCCGGCUCUCGUGUCUGCUCCGAGCUGCAGCCGCCGCCGCCGCCGCUACUGCUCGCUGCCUGGCUGCUCCCGGCUCCCCAUCACAGCCGACGCCGACGCUCGGCCAAGCCCCUCUCUCUCAUCUCCCCCAGUCGCUUCUCUCUCGCUGUCUCCUCCUCCCAAACUGCGAGCGCAGAGGGCGAGGGGGAGCGAAGCCCCGGCGCCCGGGAUGACUAGCGAUCUCCGAGCGCCGCGUGGGGGAGAGGGGGCGGGGGGAGAGGGGGCUGGUGGGGGAGGCGCGGCGAGCUGGAGGGCGCUCCCGGCGCCGAGCCUGGAAGCUGGACUAAUUUUAGAGCUCCAGUCUUCCCCCACCGGCCUCUCGGGGCUCCAGGAUAACACCAAAGUGCCUUCCUACAGCGGAUGGAGCGUGGUGCCGGCUUCUGGGAGCUCACACACACCACUUUCCGCCUCGUCCCUACCACAGCUCUGCGCGGAGGUCGAGCACGUGUUAACUCGCCUAGGACAGGUGCUUCUGUGGAAGUGCUGCAACACCUUGGCUCCUGAAACUGGGCACUGUGGAUAGAGUCAGCUAGCAGUUGUUUGGCCACUAGGAUGCUCAAGGAAAGAGCGCUGGCAAGGAGAAAGGGCAUCUUCCACCUUCUGCCUGGGAAGACUGCCAGGUAAGUGUAGGUGUGGCAACUGCCACAGCUGCUGCUGCUGCUGCUGCUGCUGCUGCUGCUGCUGCUCCUGGAUUUCAGCUCCUCCGAAUGUUCUCUUAUGCCUUGGAGGCACCUUACAGAUAA
rnacentral:lncRNA from 1 species